rnacentral:rRNA from 1 species
UCUGGUUGAUCCUGCCUGAACUGAUGUGUUUAUUUCAAAGAUUAAGCCAUGCAUGUAUAAGUUUAAUCGUUUAUCGAGAAACCGCGAACGGCUCAUUACAAUGGCCAUUAUUUACUUGAUCUUGAUUGUCUAAAUGGAUAACUGUGGAAAAGCUAGAGCUAAUACAUGCACUAAAGCUUUGUCCUUACGGAAAAGCGCAUUUAUUAGAACAAAACCACGCGGCUUCGGCUGCUUCUUGUUGACUCAGAAUAACUUAGCUGACCGCAUGGCCUUGUGCCGGCGGCGUGUCUUUCAAGCGUCCACUUUAUCAACUUGACGGGAGCAUAAUCGACUCCCGUGGUGGUGACGGAUAACGGAGGAUCAGGGUUCGACUCCGGAGAAGGGGCCUGAGAAAUGGCCACUACGUCUAAGGAUGGCAGCAGGCGCGCAAAUUACCCACUCUCGGCUCGAGGAGGUAGUGACGAGAAAUAACGAGACUGUUCUCUUUGAGGCCGGUCAUCGGAAUGGGUACAAUUUAAACCCUUUAACGAGUAUCAAGCAGAGGGUAAGUCUGGUGCCAGCAGCCGCGGUAAUUCCAGCUCUGCAAAUACAUAGAAUUAUUGCUGCGGUUAGAAAGCUCAUAGUUGGAUUCGUAUCGAUACCUUGGAACCCUUCGGGUGUCUCUAGGUGUUAUCGAUUUAUCGUAAUGUUCGGUUUUGAGUCCUUAACAGGAUUCUUAACAGGCAUUGCAAGUUUACUUUGAACAAAUCAGAGUGCUUCAAACAGGCGUUUUCGCUUGAAUGAUCGUGCAUGGAAUAAUAGAAAAUGAUUUCGGUUCAGUUUUAUUGGUUUUACGGACUGAGAUAAUGGUUAACAGAGACAAACGGGGGCAUUUGUAUGGUCCCGUGAGAGGUGAAAUUCUUGGACCGUGGCCAGACAAACUACAGCGAAAGCAUUUGCCAAGAAUGUUUUUAUUAAUCAAGAACGAAAGUCAGAGGUUCGAAGGCGAUCAGAUACCGCCCUAGUUCUGACCGUAAACGAUGCCAACUAGCGAUCCGCCGAUGGAAAUUAUAUUGCCUUGGUGGGGAGCUUCCCGGAAACGAAAGUCUUCCGGUUCCGGGGGAAGUAUGGUUGCAAAGCUGAAACUUAAAGGAAUUGACGGAAGGGCACCACCAGGAGUGGAGCCUGCGGCUUAAUUUGACUCAACACGGGGAAACUCACCCGGCCCGGACACUGUGAGGAUUGACAGAUUGAUAGCUUUUUCAUGAUUCAGUGGAUGGUGGUGCAUGGCCGUUCUUAGUUCGUGGAGUGAUUUGUCUGGUUUAUUCCGAUAACGAGCGAGACUCUAACCUACUAAAUAGUUGGUACAUACUCUUAGUGUAUACAGCUUCUUAGAGGGAUUUGCGGCGUUCAGCCGAAAGAAAUUGAGCAAUAACAGGUCUGUGAUGCCCUUAGAUGUCCGGGGCUGCACGCGCGCUACACUGGCAAAAUCAACGUGCUUGUCCUACCCUGAAAGGGGCGGGUAAACCAUUGAAAAUUUGCCGUGAUUGGGAUCGGAAAUUGCAAUUAUUUUCCGUGAACGAGGAAUUCCAAGUAAGUGCGAGUCAUCAGCUCGCGUUGAUUACGUCCCUGCCCUUUGUACACACCGCCCGUCGCUGCCCGGGACUGAGCCAUUUCGAGAAAUUUGGGGACCGUUGAUUUAAUUUUUCUAAAUUACUUUGAUGGAAACCAAUUUAAUCGCAGUGGCUUGAACCGGGCAAAAGUCGUAACAAGGUAGCUGUAGGUGAACCUGCUGCUG